GGCGUAUUUGCAAUGUAAAGCAGCAGAGGGACAAGCAGCCGACCUGCAAACAGCCCAGUUGGGUUUACAUGCAGCCAGUGGAUGUGUGUGAUGAUCUCACUACAUAUCAUAUUCAAAUCAGUAGCUCAUAUGAGCAGCUAUCGCAGAGUGUGGUUCAGCGAUACUCGGGGGGGAUCCCUGUCACUGCUGUUUCUUGGAAAUCGUCAGCUCUCUCAUGAGAACGGGCCUCUCUGCAGCAGCCAGCCAUGCCAUCUCUGUAUACUGUCACUGCUGUGACGGUUGCAUAACUACCCCGUCUGUGAACUUCACAUACGUGCAUAACCGUCACAAAUACACAGAUAAAAAU